rnacentral:lncRNA from 1 species
AUACAGUUGGUCACUGUUCCAUACUGGGAGCCACUUCAAGGAUGCAGCCUUGAGAGUAAUACCUUAUUACGACCAUUUGAACUGUGUAUGUGAUUGAACUCCGUUAAGGCCUCUAUAUAAACUUUUAAGAUUCUAGCAGUCGAGUGGGUGGUAAGUUCCUUUCCUCAUUAAACCUGCCACCCACCAAUCUGGAGUGGCCUACCUCUCUUUUCCCGUCUCUCCUUGCCCUAAGUGCACUGGGCCAGUUUCAAAUUUCACCUGGGGGAACUCCAGAGGUUGUGAACAAACAGAAAUAUAAAGAAAGAUCACCAUGGAUAAAGCAUGCUUGGUGGUUUUGGAAUUUAGAGGAAGUAAUGUUAUUGUUUACAACAGUGUUACUCUUCAUUAUGAGAUUUUUUUGAUCAUUAUAGUACUCUGUAAAGUUGCAAGUAAUCGCUAACAAACUCCCUCACUAAGAGAAAUUUAUAUUAAUUAAAAAAAUCUUACAAUAAAUACGCCAAAAUUAAACAAACGAGACGAAUUUAUAUAGUCUGAACACUUUUUAGUUGCCUGUAGAAUUUGGAUCAAGUUCAAUAGACACAGGUAAAUAAACUAGAAGAAAUUGCUUGAAUAAGGUAGAUAGCAUCACUUAGCAGCUGAUUCUUGUUCCGACAAAAUUUAGAGAGUAAGACAACUUUCAAGUAAAAUGGACUUGAUUUUCUUGUUCCCCAAGAGAAAAGAAUCAAGCUACUUAGGUAGGUGGAGUGAGGACUAGAACCCAAGCCUUCUGCCUCCCAGCUGAUAGUUCUCUGAUUUUCCACAGUCCUCGAGCAUUUACACACCAGCUCCAGGCGCUACCUAAGCCAGGUGCUCUCACUUUUCCAGCCCGGAUCUUCACUCACUCCUAAGAUCCUUUAACGAGUGUUCUGAGAGCUGUGCAGUCCUUCGAUUCAUUCAAAGCAUUCUACAGCGAACACUAGGGGGGAAAAGAACAAACAAGAUAAAUUUCAAAUAUAGGAUUCAAUUACUUUUCACAACUCGAUGAUGUGUCAAAGGCACGCUGUGUUUUGUUUUGAGGGCGGGGAGAUGACUGGGAGGGAAUCCUGGGCCCCCAUUGGCUGGCCGCUCUCCGCUGCAGUUGAGCUCCAGCCGCUCGGAGAGGAUUAUUGAUCUGAAGGGUAAACGUGGAGGGAGCCACAGAGAGGGGUCCAAGCGUUUCUGAGAAGAGAGGCAGCCUCUUCCAGGAAGAAAGUGGUGUCUGCUGGCUGCCCAGCUUGGAGAACCUUCUAUGAAUAAACGGGGACAGAAUGCAAGGCAGUUUGUUGCUACAGUGAUUUAGAAGGAAAACAAGAAGGAGAGAAAGAGAAAGGUCUCACCUUCCGUGCGAGCCGGGGUUGUAGCAUCCUGCUGCCGCCGUCUCUGCUUCUGCUCCUGCAGCUGCCGUGUCUGCCACCAGGUACCCCCGGGACCCAGUCCUCUGAUGUACUGAAAUAUUGCAACUAAAGUCUGUGGAGAUCAAAACCAGGAGAAACCUGACCGUGGCCGGUUCUAAACAGAAGAUCAGCCCUGAGCUAACAUCUGCCACCAAUCCUCCUCUUUUUGCUGAGGAAGACUGGCCCUGAGCUAACAUCUGUGCCCAUCUUCCUGCCACAGCAUGGCUUGCGAAGCAGAGCAUAGGUCCGCACCUGGGAUCUGAACCGGCGAAUCCUGGGCCGCAGAAGCGGAACGUGCAAACUUAACCUCUGUGCUGGCCCCAAAACAAUUAUAAUUUAUAAGUAGCAAAUAUUUACCAGUGAUAUAUUCAGCAAAUUACCUAUCAGAUUGUAGACCUCAGAGGAGGAAGUAAAUAGAGAAGUAAGAAGACUGAAUUUUGGGGAAUUAUCCAAAGAAGACAGGACUAGAUUGAACAUUAUAAAGUGAAACUGAGGAUAACCUGGGGGAUUUUUUGAGGGAGGGGAUAAGAAUAGUAUAUAAGUGUAAAGUGAGAACCAAAAUAGGUGAGAGUAGGAGGAUAGAAAAAGUCUAUUUUUUAUAGGUUUGCCAAAAUCUUCCUGAAUAAAACAAAGCUGGUAAGAAAAUGUUCACUUUUCAACGAGAGAUAAGACUGAAAUAACAAUAUGCACAUGACUGUGUUAUGACAUUUAUUCCUCAAAAGCAGCCCUAUGAGCCAGGACUAUUAUUAUUUGCAUUUUAUACCUAAGAGAACCAAGACCCACAUUUUCUAAAAAUCACAAUAAGGGUCUCAAAAUUCCAAACCAGAUACAUUCAUUUCUAAUUAGAAAUUAUAUUUCAGUAAAAGCUUGGGAAUUAAAAGUUAAAUGAGAUAAAAUAGUAAAAUCCUCUAAUGUUUAAGGCAAAGGGAAUUUUCUUGAUUGUUAAGUGUCACUGAGAAUCUUUUAUUUCUACACAGAUGAAAAUUCCUUCUCAAAAUUUUCUCCAGUGACUAUUUUUCUUAUUCUUGUUUCUUGUUCUGUGUUUAGGAAUAUAUUCCAAGUAAAAGGUAUGUCAUUUCUUAACUUUACUUGUGCGGUCUUUAUUAGACCUGGAAGCCAAUUAAUAAUAGAACAAAUGUUUCCUGCCUGGUGAA